CAAUAGCGUAUAUUUAAGUUGUUGCAGUUAAAAAGCUCGUAGUUGGAUUUCGGGUAGGAUUUGCCGGUCCGUCUUUGAGAUGUGUACUGGUAAGUCCUAUCUUCUUGUCGGGGACCAGCUCCUAGGCUUCACUAUCCGGGACUGGGAGCCGACGAAGUUACUUUGAGUAAAUUAGAGUGUUCAAAGCAAGCCUACGCUCUGAAUAUAUUAGCAUGGAAUAACACGAUAGGACUCUGGCUUAUCUUGUUGGUCUGUGAGACCAGAGUAAUGAUUAAGAGGGACAGUCGGGGACAUUCGUAUUUCAUUGUCAGAGGUGAAAUUCUUGGAUUUAUGUAAGACGAACUUCUGCGAAAGCAUUUGUCAAGGAUGUUUUCAUUGA
rnacentral:rRNA from 1 species